CAGCCAUUGGCUGAGGCUGCCGGGGUCGUUUUGGGUUUUUUUUCUCAAAGCGGUGAGACGGGCAGAGACUGGCAGACGAACCUAUUGUUCCGGACAAAUCAUGAUUUUAUUCUGUGAAGUGGAGCCCGACGUGCUGCGGAUUUAACUCUGGAACAACAUUGAUGUGAGUGAAAGCAGCUUUUCUUCAGAGAGAGGCAGAAAGAGGAGAACACACUGACAGAACGAGCUGGAGGUUAUUACCAGUUGGAGGGAUCGAUCCCUGGGACUCGCUGGAGGUGCCAUACAAGGCGGCCAUGUCUGUGACUGUUCAUGAGAAUCGAAAAUCCCGCACCAGCACGGGCUCCAUGAACAUCUCAUUGUUCCACAAGCCUUCACACCCGGACAGCGUGCUGACUCACCUGAACUCCAUGAGGAAGCAGUGCAUGUUCACUGACGUCACUCUGUGGGCUGGAGACCGAUCUUUCCCCUGUCACAGGGCCGUCCUGGCAGCCUGCAGUCGAUAUUUUGAGGCCAUGUUCAGCGGAGGACUGCGAGAAAGUCUGGACAGUGACGUCAACUUCAGAGACAGUAUACACCCCGAGGUGCUGCUUAUACACACACACACACACACACACACACACACACACACACACACACACACAGGAGCUAACACUAAAGCUUCUGUGUGGCGCCGGGCAAUAAAUCAAUUUUUAUUAAAGCAGCUUGGAGGAUUUUUUUCUUGAAUCAAAUAUUGCGUCCCCUGCAGACAAAGCUAUUCGUCUUAUUAUUGUGCUGCACAUGUUUAUGAAGUAUUCUCUCCUCUCAUCUCAUUCUCACUGUCGGCCAUUCAGCUAGCUGUGUGACACUUGGCUGUAUCAGCACUCCGUUCCAAAGCCAGUUAAACUCCACAUGGUAUGUUUAAUGACAGAAUUCAUGGCUAAGGACGAUGAUGAAAUAUCCCUUUAACUUGGGUGAUAAUGUCCCUGUAGUUGAAAGAGGAGGCUCCACUACAGACAGGUAAACAUGGCUGCAUUCAUCAGCUCUGCUAGAUGGAGCACUUUGUUCCCUCUGAUGUCCAUUCAGCUCUGAACAAACAAACCUCUGUACACAGUUUGUCUAAAGUCUGGGGUCAUCUCAAACAGAGACAGAACUUCAGCGAGAGCUCACAAACACAACAGCGUCCUGAACACACUGCUGAGAUGCAGCCAACAUCAGUGGUAUGAAGUUCCAUCAGAUUGUUGAAGUUUUGUGAUUCAGAUGCAGAGGCUGCCUGAGUGUGAUGAACGCAUCAGAAAGCUCCUUGAAUGAACACAAUCAAAUAGUUGUGUUUCAAACAUUUCCCAAAAGCUGCCUCUGGACCGUUUCCUCCAGCAGACAGAUGAAACGAGCUGUGAAAUGAAGAAUGAAGAUGGACCGGCUCAUUUCAGGUUCUCAUAUGAGCCAUGCUGUCUCAGUGUGAGCUCCAGGGAGACCCUCUCCAGACUCUGUGUGUCCAUGUUCGUACAUUAACAAAAUACUCCUCUCUCUCUUUUAUUACUUAUUGUGGCUUUUUGUCCAAAAAAACAACUUAAGUUAAAAUGAUAAACAAACCACAUAAACUCAAUAAACAGCCACUGAUGCACCGUUCCAGUGAGGCCUUACGCACGCAAUAAGUUCAAUGAAUCUCUUGUUUCUUUAUUUAAUUAAGACAUACAAACAUUUCCAACUGCAUUCAUUGACAUGUGGUAAAGAAACCUGUGUCCCUUCCUGGUGCAUCACCCAACAGUGACACACCUGGAACAUUUAAAGUGUUCCUGAUCAACCCAUGUGCACU